rnacentral:rRNA from 1 species
AGAGUUUGAUCAUGGCUCAGAUUGAACGCUGGCGGAAUGCUUUACACAUGCAAGUCGAACGGCAGCACGGACUUCGGUCUGGUGGCGAGUGGCGAACGGGUGAGUAACAUAUCGGAACGUAUCCAAUAAUGGGGGAUAACUAAUCGAAAGGUUGGCUAAUACCGCAUACGCCCUACGGGGGAAAGCUAGGGACCUUCGGGCCUGGCGUUAAUGGAGCGGCCGAUAUCUGAUUAGCUAGUUGGUGGGGUAAAGGCCCACCAAGGCGACGAUCAGUAGCUGGUCUGAGAGGACGACCAGCCACACUGGAACUGAGACACGGUCCAGACUCCUACGGGAGGCAGCAGUGGGGAAUUUUGGACAAUGGGCGCAAGCCUGAUCCAGCCAUUCCGCGUGAGUGAAGAAGGCCUUCGGGUUGUAAAGCUCUUUCGCAAGGGAAGAAAACUUAGUCUCUAACAUAGACUGAGGUUGACGGUACCUUGAUAAGAAGCACCGGCUAACUACGUGCCAGCAGCCGCGGUAAUACGUAGGUGCGAGCGUUAUCGGAAUUACUGGGCGUAA